rnacentral:tRNA from 4 species
AGCAGGGUAGGGAAGCAGCAUUCCGGCGGGCCCAUAACCCGCAGACCGGUGGUUCGAAUCCGCUCCCUGCUA